CCCAGUCCUAGGCUGGCUGCAUCUCACCAGGCCCCACUGAAGCCGCGGGAGGCAGCUCCAGACGCUGCAGUAAGCUGUGCCAAUGACCUUGUCCUCCUGAGACCCGUUCCGAAGCUGCCCGCACCUUCUGCAUCUCCUUGGCUCCUCACAACAACCGUGUGUGCUGGAAAUGAGGGUUGUAACGGUCACUCCACAGGACUGGGUGAAACCUGGGCAGCCCUGAUUGGCCACACUCCGCUGGACCAGGAGUAUCUGCUGGGCCCUGGCUGGACUGAUCAGUUCCACUACCCAAGCGGUCCAGAUGAAGCCCCACAACUACCAUGAACCAAUCAAUGUCCAGGCACCAUUCAGAAAUGGAUCCAAUCAUCGCCUUCAAAAUAACCGCAAGAGCCUGUUGCCAUGGUUACAGAAGAGCUACAGCACAGAGAGAACGUCAGGCAGACUUUUCAAUGUUAUCCAGUUUUGCACAGUCACUGGAGUGUCGCGUCAUGAAUUAUUAAAUCAGUGCUUCGUGGUAA